rnacentral:lncRNA from 1 species
AUUCUGGCAGAACCACUUCUGGACCUGUCCCUCUGCACCCCCCAUUCCUGCGCCCUCAUUUAACCUCCCUGACUCUGACCUGGGCUUGGUCUAUCUUGGGGCCUGGCUGCCGUCCUGGGACGGGAAGGGGAGCAGAUCAGAACUCAGCCUGCGGCUCCAGGCCGCUGGGCGCUGGCUGGGCCUCACGUUCUCCUGGAAGGACCACCUCCCUUGCCCUCCACGGGGUCUGCCUUUGCUCCCAAGGCUCCGCCCUGGACGGAGCGUCCUUCUUGCCUGGGCGUCUUCAGACCUUCAUCUGUGACACCGGGGGCCAUGUGGCUCACCCCGAGGAAGAGACGAGGACUCGCUGUGUUGGCUGUUCUUGAGCUUCUGGGCUCAAGCAAUCCUCCCUCCUGAGCUUCCCAGAGUGCUAGGAUUACAGGUGUGAGCCACUGAGCCCAGCCCAUUUUCUUUUUUUUUUUUUUCCUGGCUUCCUUUCCUCCCUGUCUCCCUGGCCUACCCUUCCUCUUCCCUCAGCUGUUCCUUCCCUUUCUCUCCAGUGAAGACUAAGGGCCAAGCAUGAGCCUUUCUUCCUGCUCUUUUACCCUUGAGGCAGCAGGAGAGGAUAUUCACCUCCUGACAUGACAGAUUCUGACGCUAUCUGCUCCUCUGUGACUUUGGGAAGCGGGGUAUGUGCUGCUCCUGGGCUGAUGGGGGAAAGUGCCUCUCCCAGCAAUGCUGGUGCCACUUGGUGUGCUACGGCCCCCCAGGGCAGUGCGGAGCCAUCUGGGACAGUUAGACAAUGAGAGACGUGAAGCCAUUUCAAGGUGCUUCCUUGAAAAUGCUCCAGAAAAACAGCAGAGGCGGCCUCUCUGGGGAUCCGGUCCAGCCCUUGAAAAGAAUCUGUUUGUUUCACCACUGAACUCAAAUAAGCCAACAGAUUGAAGGAAGGGAGUUUCCACGCGCCCCUCCCCACCAAGCAGUUACCUGAGUUCCAGAGUCCAGUCCGAUGGAUCCCAUUUUACCCUGGUUUAAAUUGUUUCCUUAGAAAAAAAUAAACAGAACCUCUUCUCUCACUCUCCAGUGGAAAGUAUAGAAUCAAACGUAAAUGAAAAUGACAGUUUCUAACAUGCGCGACCUGGACACGCGGCUGAACUCCGAGCCUCAGCUGCAGAGUGGGGUCAAUGCACCUACCUUGCAGCGUC